rnacentral:rRNA from 1 species
GACGAACGCUGGCGGCGUGCCUAAUACAUGCAAGUAGAACGCUGAAGGAGGAGCUUGCUUCUCUGGAUGAGUUGCGAACGGGUGAGUAACGCGUAGGUAACCUGCCUGGUAGCGGGGGAUAACUAUUGGAAACGAUAGCUAAUACCGCAUAAUAGUAGAUGUUGCAUGACAUUUGCUAAAAAGGUGCAAUUGCAUCACUACCAGAUGGACCUGCGUUGUAUUAGCUAGUUGGUGAGGUAACGGCUCACCAAGGCGACGAGACAUAGCCGAACUGAGAGGGGGGUCGGCCACCCGGGGACGGGAACGCGGCCCAUACUCCUACGGGAGGCAGCAGUAGGGAAUCUUCGGCAAUGGACGGAAGUAUGACCGAGCAACGCCGCGUGAGUGAAGAAGGGUUUCGGAUCGUAAAGCUCUGUUGUAAGAGAAGAACGAGUGUGAGAGUGGAAAGUUCACACUGUGACGGUAUCUUAACAGAAAGGGACGGCUAACUACGUG